GCAAACUUGGUCAUUUAGAGGAAGUAAAAGUCGUAACAAGGUCUCCGUUGGUGAACCAGCGGAGGGAUCAUUACUGAGUUAUAAAACUCCAAACCCAUGUGAACUUACCAGUGUUGCCUCGGCGGCGAACGCGCGUUCGGGUAGAUCCCCACUGGGGUACCUACCCUGGAGCGCCUACCCUGGAGCUACCCGGGACCUACCCGGUAGCUACCCUGUAGCAUCGGCGAACCGCCUAAAGGACCACCUAAACUCUUGUUUCUAUGUGGCACAUCUGAGUUACAUUAUUAAAUAAGUCAAAACUUUCAACAACGGAUCUCUUGGUUCUGGCAUCGAUGAAGAACGCAGC
rnacentral:misc_RNA from 1 species